CAUCGCUCAUCGCUCCUACCAAUUGAAUGGUCUGAUGAAGUGUUUGGAUCGCGACAGCACGGGUAGUUCACUGCCCGCGACAUUGUGAGAAGUCCACUGAACCUUAUCAUUUAGAGGAAGGGAAGUCAUAACAAGGUUUCCGUAGGUGAACCUGCGGAAG
rnacentral:ncRNA from 1 species